rnacentral:rRNA from 1 species
GACGAACGCUGACGGCGUGCCUAACACAUGCAAGUCGAAGGGAGUGGCGAACGGGUGAGUAACACGUGAGUAACUUGCUGUUUGCUUUGGGAUAGGCCUGGGAAACUGGGUCGAAUACUGGCUGGAUUGGGAUGGGCUCGCGGGUUAUCAGCUUGUUGGUGGGGUGAUGGCUUACCAAGGCUCUGAAGGGUAGCCGGCCUGAGAGGGUGGUCGGUCACACUGGAACUGAGACACGGUCCAGACUCCUACGGGAGGCAGCAGUGGGGAAUAUUGCACAAUGGGCGCAAGCCUGAUGCAGCCAUGCCGCGUGUAUGAAGAAGGCCUUCGGAUUGUAAAGUACUUUCAGCGGGGAGGCGUUACCCGCAGAAGAAGCACCGGCUAACUCCGUGCCAGCAGCCGCGGUAAUAC